ensembl:lncRNA
AAAAAAAGUGGUAACGGCCGAUACUAAACGGAAAGCGCUAAAGAAGCGUAGCCUGCUGUUGCUAUGGUUACCUUCUCAUGCAAACGCGAAUUUUGUGCUUGAGCGCCUAUUUUAGCGUAUUCUGUCUAACUUUCUUGGUUAAUGAAACGUUGUUUUAUAUAUUUAUGCGUUAAACGAUUACAUUUCUCUUAGACUCCCCACCCUGCAAACCCCCUUCCCGUAAUUCGCACCCUGAUCGUUUUGUUAGGAUACUUGUCGCUGUCCGUUCAGCACCACGAGCGCCUGAACCAUUGAAGACGUCGAGACUCCAGCAUAUGCACGACACUAAUUAAUUAGCUACUGUAAAUUACGCGAGAGAGACUAGGCCUGCAAUUUCUGUUGGAAGCAGAAGGAUACGUUAAACGUCAUAAAGCAGUGCAUACAAACGUGAAGCCUGAACAUGCAUUAGAAUUAACCGCUAGAGGGCGAUCGAGCAUUGUUGAAGGCGAUAAACCCACACUGAAACAUUGGUGGGAGCCAAGACGAGCCAUCACAUGGUCUCUCAACAUGCGCUCUGUAGGGCCCCUAACGUUCGAGUUAUGCCAUCAGACUAAUGCGUUGUGACUGCUCCUUUCUCUUGUGACGAAGUCUUAC